CGGGAAGAGCUCAAAUUUGUAAUCUGACGCGCCCCUUUUCGGCCGUCCGAGUUGUAGCCUGGAGAAGCGUCUUCCGCGUCGGACCGUGUACAAGUCCCUUGGAACAGGGCGUCGCAGAGGGUGAGAAUCCCGUCUUUCGACACGGACCGCCGGCGCUCCUGUGAUGCGCUCUCGAA
rnacentral:rRNA from 1 species